CGUCAUCGCAGGUCCUGCAGCCCCAGGAGGUGAGAUCUGCAGGUUCCUUAGGUUCAGGACUCUCUUCUUUUUAAAGCCGAUGGUCCUUUCCAUCAAUGACCCACCAAGGAUGGAGAAGGACAGAGACCACAUGGCUGCGAGGAUAUUAGACCUCACCCUGGAGAUCAUCUCCUUGAUAACUGGAGAGGAUUACACAGUAGUGAAGAAGUCGUCUGGUGAGUGUGUGACACCCCGUGUGUCAGGAG